AGUGAACGCUGGCGGUAGGCCUAACACAUGCAAGUCGAACGGCAGCACAGUAAGAGCUUGCUCUUACGGGUGGCGAGUGGCGGACGGGUGAGGAAUACAUCGGAAUCUACUUUUUCGUGGGGGAUAACGUAGGGAAACUUACGCUAAUACCGCAUACGACCUACGGGUGAAAGCAGGGGAUCUUCGGACCUUGCGCGAUUGAAUGAGCCGAUGUCGGAUUAGCUAGUUGGCGGGGUAAAGGCCCACCAAGGCGACGAUCCGUAGCUGGUCUGAGAGGAUGAUCAGACACACUGGAACUGAGACACGGUCCAGACUCCUACGGGAGGCAGCAGUGGGGAAUAUUGGACAAUGGGGGCAAGCCUGAUCCAGCCAUACCGGGUGGGUGAAGAAGGCCUUCGGGUUGUAAAGCCCUUUUGUUGGGAAAGAAAAGCAGCAGGUUAAUACCCCGCUGUUCUGACGGUACCCAAAGAAUAAGCACCGGCUAACUUCGUG
rnacentral:rRNA from 1 species